CAGUCAAUAGAAGGUUCGGACAGUAAAGUCUCGGCACUGCCAGGGAUACUACACAAGAGUUAUCAGUUACCAUUCUGCAGCGCAUGCCAGGAUUAACCUAGUGCCAAAGGAACACUGUCAAGAAAUGAACUCUGCGCCAGCUUCCAGUCAAGCCAGGAGGUACAAUCCUAAAGGUAGAGCCCAUUGUACCAGGCCAACAGUGACACAUUCCUGUCACUGGGUCACAUCGACCUUCUUCACCACAUGGACAAAGCAUCCUACAAUCUUUCCCAUAAUAGCCUUCUGGACAAGCU